GGUGCGAGCGUUACUCGGAAUUACUGGGCGUAAAGCGUGCGCAGGCGGUUCGCCAAGCUCGCUGUGAAAGCCCCGGGCUUAACCUGGGAAUUGCAUUGAGGACUGGCGUGCUCGAGUGCGGCAGAGGGGGGUGGAAUUCCACGUGUAGCAGUGAAAUGCGUAGAGAUGUGGAGGAACACCGAUGGCGAAGGCAGCCCCCUGGGCCGACACUGACGCUCAUGCACGAAAGCGUGGGGAGCAAACAGG
rnacentral:rRNA from 1 species